UACGUAGGUGGCAAGCGUUGUCCGGAUUUAUUGGGUUUAAAGGGUGCGUAGGCGGCCCUGUAAGUCAGUGCUGAAAUAUCCCGGCUUAACCGGGAGGGUGGCAUUGAUACUGCGGGGCUAGAGUACAGAUGAGGUAGGCGGAAUUGACGGUGUAGCGGUGAAAUGCUUAGAUAUCGUCAAGAACACCUAUAGCGAAGGCAGCUUACUAGGCUGUAACUGACGGCUGAGGCACGAAAAGUGUGGGGAUCAAACAGG
rnacentral:rRNA from 1 species